UACGUAGGGGGCAAGCGUUGUCCGGAAUCAUUGGGCGUAAAGAGCGUGUAGGCGGCCCGAUAAGUCCGCUGUGAAAGUCCAGGGCUCAACCCUGGAAUGCCGGUGGAUACUGUCGGGCUCGAAUCCGGAAGAGGUGAGUGGAAUUCCUGGUGUAGCGGUGAAAUGACGCAGAUAUCAGGAGGAACACCAAUGGCGAAGGCAGCUCGCUGGGACGUGACUGACGCUGAGACGCGAAAGCGUGGGGAGCAAACAGG
rnacentral:rRNA from 1 species